GGAUGCGAUCAUACCAGCACUAAAGCACCGGAUCCCAUCAAAACUCCAAAGUUAAGCGUGCUUGGGCGAGAGUAGUACUUGGAUGGGUGACCUCCUGGGAAGUCCUCGUGUUGCAUUCC
rnacentral:rRNA from 1 species